rnacentral:rRNA from 2 species
UUUAUAUGAGAGUUUGAUCCUGGCUCAGGAUGAACGCCGGCGGUGUGCCUAAUACAUGCAAGUCGUACGCACUGGCCCAACUGAUUGAUGGUGCUUGCACCUGAUUGACGAUGGAUCACCAGUGAGUGGCGGACGGGUGAGUAACACGUAGGUAACCUGCCCCGGAGCGGGGGAUAACAUUUGGAAACAGAUGCUAAUACCGCAUAACAACGAAAGCCACAUGGCUUUUGUUUGAAAGAUGGCUUUGGCUAUCACUCUGGGAUGGACCUGCGGUGCAUUAGCUAGUUGGUAAGGUAACGGCUUACCAAGGCGAUGAUGCAUAGCCGAGUUGAGAGACUGAUCGGCCACAAUGGAACUGAGACACGGUCCAUACUCCUACGGGAGGCAGCAGUAGGGAAUCUUCCACAAUGGGCGCAAGCCUGAUGGAGCAACACCGCGUGAGUGAAGAAGGGUUUCGGCUCGUAAAGCUCUGUUGUUGGAGAAGAACGUGCGUGAGAGUAACUGUUCACGCAGUGACGGUAUCCAACCAGAAAGUCACGGCUAACUACGUGCCAGCAGCCGCGGUAAUACGUAGGUGGCAAGCGUUAUCCGGAUUUAUUGGGCGUAAAGCGAGCGCAGGCGGUUGCUUAGGUCUGAUGUGAAAGCCUUCGGCUUAACCGAAGAAGUGCAUCGGAAACCGGGCGACUUGAGUGCAGAAGAGGACAGUGGAACUCCAUGUGUAGCGGUGGAAUGCGUAGAUAUAUGGAAGAACACCAGUGGCGAAGGCGGCUGUCUGGUCUGCAACUGACGCUGAGGCUCGAAAGCAUGGGUAGCGAACAGGAUUAGAUACCCUGGUAGUCCAUGCCGUAAACGAUGAGUGCUAGGUGUUGGAGGGUUUCCGCC